GAUGAACGCUAGCGGCAGGCCUAACGCAUGCAAGUCGAGGGGGAAGUUACUUUCGGGUGACUGAGACCGGCGUACGGGUGCGUAACGCGUAUACAAUCUGCCUUUCACUGGGGGGUAGCCCGAAGAAAUUUGGAUUAAUACCCCAUAGUAUAUAGGGACGGCAUCGUUUUUAUAUUAAAGCUUAGGUGGUGAAAGAUGAGUAUGCGUUCUAUUAGCUAGUUGGAGAGGUAACGGCUCCCCAAGGCGAUGAUAGAUAGGGGUUCUGAGAGGGAUGUCCCCCAAACUGGUACUGAGAUACGGACCAGACUCCUACGGGAGGCAGCAGUGAGGAAUAUUGGACAAUGGUCGGAAGACUGAUCCAGCCAUGCCGCGUGCAGGAUGAAGGUCUUAUGGAUUGUAAACUGCUUUUGUAAGGGAAGAAUAAGGGCUACGCGUAGUUUGAUGACGGUACCUUACGAAUAAGCAUCGGCUAACUCCGUG
rnacentral:rRNA from 1 species